rnacentral:lncRNA from 1 species
GACAUCCAGAUGACCCAGUCUCCAUCCUCCCUGUCUGCAUCUGUAGGAGACAGAGUCACCAUCACUUGCCAGGCGAGUCAGGACAUUAGCAACUAUUUAAAUUGGUAUCAGCAGAAACCAGGGAAAGCCCCUAAGCUCCUGAUCUACGAUGCAUCCAAUUUGGAAACAGGGGUCCCAUCAAGGUUCAGUGGAAGUGGAUCUGGGACAGAUUUUACUUUCACCAUCAGCAGCCUGCAGCCUGAAGAUAUUGCAACAUAUUACUGUCAACAGUAUGAUAAUCUCCCUCCCACAGUUGGCAAAGGACAUGAACAGACACUUAAAAGA